GCGUUUUUAGUCCUCGGUAGAGCAUCGGACUUUUAAUCCGCUGGUCGCUGGUUCGAUUCCAGCACGGCCCA
rfam:Xylella fastidiosa 9a5c, complete genome.